rnacentral:rRNA from 1 species
AUGUUGUAUCCAACCUUUGAAGUUAUUCGAGUGCUUUGUACUCUAUGGAUAACCAGAGUAAGAUCCUCUCUGAAAUUUCUGAGCCAAGAUAAAGCAGGGAGCACAAACCGGCCCGCUUGCCCAGCAUGUACCCUGGGGACGACCUCAAGUAUGUUGCACGUCGAGGAGUGCCACAAUGCCGCCGAAGGGCAUCACACCUUCGAUGUCAUGUCGCGAUAUCAAGAGCCGCUGGCGCCAAAUGCUAAGCACCACACCUCCUGUCACGAGCUUACCCGACAGACCACAGCCAACACCUCAAAAGCAACUCUAAGCACCUUGCGAGGCAUCACCGCCGACACGGAAAAAAAAGCCUGGAAGGUUCAUCCUUCAGUUGCAAAAUGCGGUAGCAAGGGGCCCCAGUUCCUAAACAGUAUCCAGCGCUUGAUACUUUCAUCAUCCCAGACUAAAUCGUUCCACCAUUGCGUUUCUCCUAUUAUCGUUGCGAAGAACGGGUUAUUUUCGGUGACACCGAUGGGGACUCCCUUCAGUUUCCCACAGCCCUUCACCUUCAAGUCCUUGAGAGACGGCAGGACCCCUCUGCAGAUGCAGCUAAGCUCUGGAAGCUCCCACAGCUGCAGCGACUGUAACCGUGGAAGAGCCUGUUCCGCGGAGACCGAUUUGUCGAACACUCUCUCCAAGUUGUCACAGAACCUUAUUUGUAGGCUACGAAGAUUUGGCAGGCGCAGGGAUGAAGGAAAGAGGAAGUUCAGUUUUGGACAGCAAUCGAGGAGCAAGUGCAUCAGACAACUGAAACUAGUCAAAGCUUCCAUCCCUUGGCAGAAGUAUGCUAAAUUGUCCAUGUUAGAGAUCCAUAUAUUCUGCAAUUUGACCAUUGUAGCCACUUCUUCCAGUAAGAAAAUAUUCUCCAGUUGGUGA